rnacentral:rRNA from 1 species
UACGGAGGGUGCAAGCGUUAUCCGGAUUCACUGGGUUUAAAGGGUGUGUAGGCGGGUAUUUAAGUCAGUGGUGAAAUCUCCGGGCUCAACCCGGAAACUGCCAUUGAUACUAUUUAUCUUGAAUAUCGUUGAGGUUGGCGGAAUAUAUCAUGUAGCGGUGAAAUGCAUAGAUAUGAUAUAGAACACCGAUUGCGAAGGCAGCUAACUAAGCGAUGAUUGACGCUGAGGCACGAAAGCGUGGGGAUCAAACAGG